CUUAAUUAAAAUUCAUUUCACGACGCUGUCCGAUUUGUUCUGCGCAUGUCCAAUGUUUUACGACACACGAGAAAAAAAGUUACCACGGGAUUUUAAUUUCUCGGUCUGCAUUAACAAAUAGAACUUUCGCCAUUCGAGUGAGAAGGAGAAAGAAGAACGCUGUAGAGAAUAGGAGCAUAUUGAAUUUUUCUCCUGGCAGAAGAAUAAUUUUCACUUCUUGAAAAAAUGAAGACUUUUCAAUUUUACAACGACUUGAAAGAAUAUCUUUUACGGGAAGAAUUUAGCAACAAUUUAACGGUCAGAGAGCGAAGUGAAAUACGACGUGUGUCCGUGAAUUUUAUGAUUAAAGUCCUUCGUCCAUGCCCUGGCUGCUCUACAGGGUGUAUCAGGACAGGAGGCAGAAGACUUAUUUCUUGGUGGCCCAGAAUACAGUAUCAGGUAAAAGUCAAGUCUAUGAAUGUUUGAAGUAAGUGUUUAAAUAUUUCUUGUUUAUUAUUUUUAUAUUUUACUUGCUUUAGUGAAGUGGAAGAAUUUAACCGAAAGAUAGGGCAGCAAUUAAAGAAGGAAGGAAUGCUGUGAUAUCUGUUGGAAUAGAAGAUGAUGCUACUGCCCAGUGCUUCCAGAAUCCUUCAUUUGAGUCUUGGGUCUGAAUCUACUGCGUCAUUGCCAAGUAUUCUGGGGUAAUGUAUCUUGUUUUGUUUACAUUUUGUUUUUCUCCAUAUUCCAAGCUCAUUUACUUGACCUUAGCUUUAAUAAACUGGAUGGCUGUCUCCUUCACAAUUGAUUUUAAAGUACUAUACUAUUCAUUACAUAAAAAGCUCUGAACAAUUUAGUCCCUUCCUGUAUUUGGUACUUUCUCUCCCCCAACACUCCUCAGUGUAAUCCUUAAUCCACAACCA